rnacentral:rRNA from 1 species
AUUGCCCCAGUAACGGCGAGUGAAGCGGCAACAGCUCAAAUUUGAAAUCUGGCCCCUAGGGCCCGAGUUGUAAUUUGCAGAGGAUGCUUUUGGCGAGGUGCCUUCCGAGUUCCCUGGAACGGGACGCCAUAGAGGGUGAGAGCCCCGUCUGGUUGGACGCCGAGCCUCUGUAAAGCUCCUUCGACGAGUCGAGUAGUUUGGGAAUGCUGCUCUAAAUGGGAGGUAUAUGUCUUCUAAAGCUAAAUAUUGGCCAGAGACCGAUAGCGCACAAGUAGAGUGAUCGAAAGAUGAAAAGCACUUUGAAAAGAGAGUUAAAUAGUACGUGAAAUUGUUGAAAGGGAAGCGCUUAUGACCAGACUUGGGCCCGGUGAAUCAUCCAGCGUUCUCGCUGGUGCACUUUGCCGGUGCCCAGGCCAGCAUCAGUUUGCCCCGGGGGAUAAAGGCUUUGGGAAUGUGGCUCCCCAGGGAGUGUUAUAGCCCAUUGCACAAUACCCUGUGGCGGACUGAGGUUCGCGCAUCUUGCAAGGAUGCUGGCGUAAUGGUCAUCAGCGACCCGUCUUGAAACACGGACCAAGGAGUCGUCUUCGUAUGCGAGUGUUCGGGUGUCAAACCCCUACGCGUAAUGAAAGUGAACGCAGGUGAGAGCUUCGGCGCAUCAUCGACCGAUCCUGAUGUUCUCGGAUGGAUUUGAGUAAGAGCAUACGGGGCCGGACCCGAAAGAAGGUGAACUAUGCCUGUAUAGGGUGAAGCCAGAGGAAACUCUGGUGGAGGCUCGCAGCGGUUCUGACGUGCAAAUCGAUCGUCAAAUAUGGGCAUGGGGCGAAAGACUAAU